UGCGUCGUUCGCUUCGUCGUGAAGAAAGCCCUCUUCUCUCCUCCUCUCCCGAUGCACGCGCCUCCUCCUCUCCCAGAAAUUUCUUUCUUCCCACACGCAACCUCCUCUCUCCCCAGCUAGGGUUGCCGCCGCCGCCACCGACGGAAGGUGGCGGCAAGAGCUAGAAGGUGAGUGGCGCCGCGAGCUCCCGUCCCGAGGAAGCCGCGGAAGGACGAGCACAACCCAGCCGAGAUGCGGUCGUCGGUGCCGUGAUGGGGUGGAGCUGCAGAGUAGGGGCCGCGACAAGGGGAAGGAGUAGACAAGGGAGGAGCGGAGAAGGUCGUCUCCCGCGCUGCACCGCAGACAAGAGGGUGGCGGGCGGCAGUCGCCGUGGCGGAGGAGAGGAAGACGAGCUGCCACGCAGGGGAGAGGAAGGAAAGUUGCGCCCAUAGUGAAAGCGAGGCAGCCCAAGGCUAUCGCGGAGGAGAACGAGGAGGGGUGGCGCUGCCACGGAGAGCUACGAGGGUUGCAGCAUCGCUGCAGAUGAGGAGGAGAGGCACUCCGCCGCACGAUUCCACGUGAACCUCUUAUCUUCAGGCUGAACAUCCUCUGAAAUUUUCUGUAGUGGGUACCCUGCUGUUCAUCUUCAGAACAUCCUCAGAAAUUUUACUUUGGCUGACGAUGUUCUUACUCCAUCAUCAGAUUAACUGUACUAUUGCUCUAAAGUACUGCUUGACUGCUUAUUUUUAUCUUAAUAGAAGUGCAGAUUCUAUUAUGGCAAACUGUCCACUGUAUUUUUUUGACAGUUAAAUCUUCUUUAUUCAAAGGACAGGAGGGCUACAUCAUUUACAACUAAAGAGAUUAACCUCACCACUUCUUGAUUUAUUCUCUCUUUCCGGUGCCCUGCUUCCAGCACUUAUAGUCUUUGCUUGUGCAGAUUUUGGUUUUGUACGCCUACAAGGUAUUUGAUGAAAAUACCAGAGGGCUGGCAGAGAAGGAGUGUAGCUUCAGUAAGGUUGCUCACCAAUGAGCUGGGAGUAUUUUUGUCCUGGAUACUUGCAUGAUUGAAGAAGAAAUUUGGUAUUCCUAAAUGUGCUAUUAUAGAUCAAAGGUGAACUCAUCCCAUUUUCUUACCUCAAUCUCAGGCGAAGAUUCUCUUGUUCACUAAAAUUCAUUUUUAUGUAAUUAUUUCAUUGAUCCAUGACAUCGGCCAUCCUCUGUGGCCCUUCCGCUCCUCUCGCCGACGACCAUGAACAGGCAAAGGAAAUGAAGCGCAGGCGCAGUGCCGCUGCCGCCGCCGGAUUUUCUCCCGGGUCAUGGGAGGCGUUUGGGAGGAUCGACUAGGAAGGAUCGAACGACACCUGGAGAAGACCUGCACAAGGGUGCCACCAAGAUCUCCAAGGACGUCCUCGACUCUGCCGGACAACAGAUUCCUUUACAAAUUCGAAGCCAGAACUCAAAAAAGGAAGGGCAAGGAAAUGAAGGGCGCAAGACUACUAGAGGCAAAGACAGGCGGACGCGGCCGGAGCAGUAUGGUGGCGUCGAUGGGUGUGGAGGAGUGUGUGAAGACGCUACAGAGCACCGCUGAGGAGCUUGUCAGCAGGACGAGCUGCUCCCGCUGCUGCAUGGCAACCCAGCCGGAUCUGCCUCGACAGGUUCGAGCCCUCCGUCACUGGCCCCGUGCACAUCUGGCAGGGUGUUGGGAAGGUGAUCAAUGUGAACAAGAUGGUCAGGGCCAGAUGGAGAGUGAAGAUCCUAAUAGCGGACCAGAGGCCGACUUGGCAAGAUCAGGGAGCAGCUGGACCACGACAAGGACGUCGGCGGCGGCUUCUCCGCCAUGUGGGAUUAUUCUUUGACCUUUCACAAUUCCUUCAGGCGUCCAUAACAUCAAGCAUAAUUUUGGUGUUUCUUAACCUUUUGCAUUCUACUCUAAUCAGUUAAAUUAGGCCUAUGACUCAGAAGUUUCUCUUAAUACUUUUAGUUGUGAAUUUUGUUUUGUGGUCUUCUUCCUGAUUCGAUGUGAUUAGCACAAUACUAAAUUUGCCGGCUAUUGAUACUUCUGUGUGAACCAGAUUAAUCUAAACCACCAAGAUCUGCUUGUUCAUUAUUUUGAUUCAAGCUAAUCGAAUGUUCAUUAUUUUGUGUCA